rnacentral:lncRNA from 1 species
AUCCUCGCCGGCCUCCUCCUGAGGCAGGAAGCGGUCACGUGGCGACCGGCUGGGGUUUCAGUGAAUCUGCUUAUGAAUAUCAAUCAGGCCCGGUAAUUCACAUGGCACCUCCAGUACCCUGUGGAAACAGCCCAGGAGGCCCACGUGAUCUCGGAAGCAGUGAUCCUGUUCUGAGCCUGUCCUGUGGGAGAAAUCCAGCCACCAUCGCCACCCCAGCGGCAGACACUGCUGUCUGUCCCUCUUCUGGACAGGGACAGGGCCACAGAGAGGAGUCCCAGCUGUCCAAGACAGCUGCCAGGUCCCGAGUCUGCAAAGCAUUGGUUCGGCCACAGGGGGCAGGCUCGCUGCAUGGAGCGUGCACACAGUAAGUGCUCAAUAAACUCGGCCACGUGGCAGGGCUUUUCCUGGUGUCGUCUGCAUCCCUGCCUGGCUCCCAUCGAUCUACACAGAUGCUGGGUCAGCUCAAAAUUCCCCGGGCUGAACUGCAAAGGUGGCGGUACUCGGGGCCCGUGGGGAGUGGAGGAGCCGAUCUGCACUGCCGCUAAGGUGGAUCUGCAUCUCCAGGCAGCCUGGUGGACGCUGUACAGGAAGGGACCAUGCUGGA